rnacentral:sRNA from 1 species
AGCCUCCCAGCCUCUGUUCAGUGUGUGGACAGACGGGUUUUGGGAUUUGAGAUUGACGCGGUGAACUCUGUCCAGUUUUCAAACCACACAGGCUAUGCCCACUGGAAGGGCCAAGUGCUGAAUUCAGAUGAGCUCCAGGAGUUGUACGAAGGCCUGAGGCUGAACAACAUGAAUAAAUAUGACUACGUGCUCACAGGUUAUACGAGGGACAAGUCGUUCCUGGCCAUGGUGGUGGACAUUGUGCAGGAGCUGAAGCAGCAGAACCCCAGGCUGGUGUACGUGUGUGAUCCAGUCUUGGGUGACAAGUGGGACGGCGAAGGCUCGAUGUACGUCCCGGAGGAUCUGCUUCCCGUCUACAGAGAAAAAGUGGUGCCGCUCGCAGACAUUAUCACGCCCAACCAGUUUGAGGCCGAGUUACUGAGUGGCCGGAAGAUCCACAGCCAGGAGGAAGCCUUGCAGGUGAUGGACUUGCUGCACUCUAUGGGCCCCGACACCGUGGUCAUCACCAGCUCCGACCUGCCCUCCCCGCGGGGCAGCGACUACCUGAUUGUGCUGGGGAGUCAGAGGAGGAGGAAUCCCACUG